rnacentral:snoRNA from 1 species
CUGGAAUGAUGAGAUUCCACUUCAUUGGUCCGUGUUUCUGAAAAACACUUGUUUUCGUGGAAGUUCUGACUUG